UACGUAGAGUGCAAGCGUUGUCCGGAAUUAUUGGGCGUAAAGAGCUCGUAGGCGGUUUGUCGCGUCUGCUGUGAAAACUCGGGGCUUAACUCCGGGCCUGCAGUGGGUACGGGCAGACUAGAGUGCGGUAGGGGAGACUGGAAUUCCUGGUGUAGCGGUGAAAUGCGCAGAUAUCAGGAGGAACACCGGUGGCGAAGGCGGGUCUCUGGGCCGUAACUGACGCUGAGGAGCGAAAGCGUGGGGAGCGAACAGG
rnacentral:rRNA from 1 species